UCUAGUCCGGACUACAGUCUAGUCUAUAGUCUGGACUACAGUCUAGUCUAUAGUCUGGACUACAGUCUAGUCUAUAGUCUGGACUAGACUAAUCCAGUCUAUAGUCUGAACUAGAGUAGUCCAGUCUAUAGUCUGGACUAGACUAGUCCAGUCUAUAGUCUGGACU